AAUGUGUGUUGAGAAUAUGGUGGUUUGGGUGAAAUAUCAUGGUUACCAUGAUAUUUCACUCAAACCACCAUAUUCUCAACACACAUU
rnacentral:sRNA from 1 species